AGUGAACGCUGGCGGUAGGCCUAACACAUGCAAGUCGAACGGCAGCACAGUAAGAGCUUGCUCUUACGGGUGGCGAGUGGCGGACGGGUGAGGAAUACAUCGGAAUCUACUUUUUCGUGGGGGAUAACGUAGGGAAACUUACGCUACUACCGCAUACGACCUACGGCUGAAAGCAGUGGAUCUUCGGACCUUGCGCGAUUGAAUGAGCCGAUGUCGGAUUAGCUAGUUGGCGUGGUAAAGGCCCACCAAGGCGACGAUCCGUAGCUGGUCUGAGAGGAUGAUCAGCCACACUGGAACUGAGACACGGUCCAGACUCCUACGGGAGGCAGCAGUGGGGAAUAUUGGACAAUGGGCGCAAGCCUGAUCCAGCCAUACCGCGUGAGUGAAGAAGGCCUUCGGGUUGUAAAGCCCUUUUGUUGGGAAAGAAAAGCAGCAGGUUAAUACCCCGCUGUUCUGACGGUACCCAAAGAAUAAGCACCGGCUAACUUCGUG
rnacentral:rRNA from 1 species